rnacentral:rRNA from 1 species
CGUGGGUAACCUACCUAUAAGACUGGAAUAACUCCGGGAAACCGGGGCUAAUGCCGGAUAACAUAUAGAACCGCAUGGUUCUAUAGUGAAAGAUGGUUUUGCUAUCACUUAUAGAUGGACCCGCGCCGUAUUAGCUAGUUGGUAAGGUAAUGGCUUACCAAGGCGACGAUACGUAGCCGACCUGAGAGGGUGAUCGGCCACACUGGAACUGAGACACGGUCCAGACUCCUACGGGAGGCAGC